rnacentral:rRNA from 1 species
AACAGGAUUAGAUACCCUGGUAGUCCACCCCGUAAACGUUGGGAACUAGUUGUGGGGACCAUUCCACGGUUUCCGUGACGCAGCUAACGCAUUAAGUUCCCCGCCUGGGGAGUACGGCCGCAAGGCUAAAACUCAAAGGAAUUGACGGGGACCCGCACAAGCGGCGGAGCAUGCGGAUUAAUUCGAUGCAACGCGAAGAACCUUACCAAGGCUUGACAUACACCAGAACACCGUAGAAAUACGGGACUCUUUGGACACUGGUGAACAGGUGGUGCAUGGUUGUCGUCAGCUCGUGUCGUGAGAUGUUGGGUUAAGUCCCGCAACGAGCGCAACCCUCGUUCUAUGUUGCCAGCACGUAAUGGUGGGAACUCAUGGGAUACUGCCGGGGUCAACUCGGAGGAAGGUGGGGAUGACGUCAAAUCAUCAUGCCCCUUAUGUCUUGGGCUUCACGCAUGCUACAAUGGCCGGUACAAAGGGCUGCAAUACCGUGAGGUGGAGCGAAUCCCAAAAAGCCGGUCCCAGUUCGGAUUGAGGUCUGCAACUCGACCUCAUGAAGUCGGAGUCGCUAGUAAUCGCAGAUCAGCAACGCUGCGGUGAAUACGUUCCCGGGUCUUGUACACACCGCCCGUCAAGUCAUGAAAGUCGGUAACACCUGAAGCCGGUGGCCCAACCCUUGUGGAGGGAGCCGUCGAAGGUGGGAUCGGUAAUUAGGACUAAGUCGUAACAAGGUAACC